rnacentral:rRNA from 1 species
GAUGAACGCUGGCGGCGUGCCUAAUACAUGCAAGUCGAGCGAACGGAUGAGAAGCUUGCUUCUCUGAUGUUAGCGGCGGACGGGUGAGUAACACGUGGAUAACCUACCUAUAAGACUGGGAUAACUUCGGGAAACCGGAGCUAAUACCGGAUAAUAUUUUGAACCGCAUGGUUCAAAGGUGAAAGACGGUCUUGCUGUCACUUAUAGAUGGAUCCGCGCUGCAUUAGCUAGUUGGUAAGGUAACGGCUUACCAAGGCAACGAUGCAUAGCCGACCUGAGAGGGUGAUCGGCCACACUGGAACUGAGACACGGUCCAGACUCCUACGGGAGGCAGCAGUAGGGAAUCUUCCGCAAUGGGCGAAAGCCUGACGGAGCAACGCCGCGUGAGUGAUGAAGGUCUUCGGAUCGUAAAACUCUGUUAUUAGGGAAGAACAUAUGUGUAAGUAACUGUGCACAUCUUGACGGUACCUAAUCAGAAAGCCACGGCUAACUACGUG